rnacentral:misc_RNA from 1 species
AAAGAAAAGAAAAGAAAAUAAAGAAGAUUACAUCAUCAUGGUUACAUCAUCUAGGUGAUAUCAUAAAUAAUUAUCAAAUUAAUGAAUUAAUUUGACUAAGUCAAUUUAUGAUAAAUACAUAUAAAAUAAGAAAAUUAAAAGAAAAAUAAUAUGGUCUUCUUCUCCUCCAAGCCGUGGUCUCUCUCUCUCUUGUCCCUCUCUCAAAUUUCUACCAUGAAAGCUUAUAUUUAAGCUUUCUAAAUCCUAAUUUUUACCCUAAAUCCUUUAAUGUCCUUGAAGAAAAAUUAUAAUCAAACCUUCGAAAGAAGAUUGAAGGAGAAAGAAAGAAGAAAAAGUGAAGGAAUUUGAAGAUUAAAAAGCUCAAGUAAAGGUGAAAGUAAAG